rnacentral:rRNA from 1 species
UACCGGGGGGGCAAGCGUUGUUCGGAAUUACUGGGCGUAAAGGGUCUGUAGGUGGCCAACUAAGUCAGACGUGAAAUCCCUCAGCUUAACUGGGGAACUGCGUCUGAUACUGGAUGGCUUGAGUGUGGGAGAGGAAUGCGGAAUUCCAGGUGUAGCGGUGAAAUGCGUAGAUAUCUGGAGGAACACCGGUGGCGAAGGCGGCAUUCUGGACCAUAACUGACACUGAGAGACGAAAGCCAGGGGAGCAAACGGG